UGGGCAUCAAAACUGAAAUACCAAAACCAUCCCGGAACCGUGCCAAUCUAGUGUCGUCCCGUUUGGUGUUGGCGUGUAAACGGGAUGAUACCGUGUCAUCUCAUUACUGUUUGGAAUGACAUCGGUUCCACAUUUGUGAUCCCAGUUGGUGUCAUACCGUACCGAACAGUAAAUUAGUUUUAUUAAUCCUGAUUUAAUUUUAGUUCCACC
rnacentral:lncRNA from 1 species